rnacentral:lncRNA from 1 species
UUGGGGAUUGAGCCAAGUACCAACAUGAAGAGUCGACACCACUGUUCUUGGGAGUAAUUUCAGUGAUUUAUUUUUCAAAUAUAAAGAGCUCACGAUAGCUAGGAGUUGUCUCCUCUUGGGAAGGAGUCAUCUCAUCACUAGCAAGUUGAAUGGCAUAACAGUUAGAAAUGGCCACCUACUAUUCAAUGGCUACAAACAGCAAUCCUAGCCUCUCCG